rnacentral:rRNA from 1 species
GGGGGAGCACUGUCCAGCAGCUGGGGUAAGACGGAUGGGGCGGGUGGUAUCCGCGGUCAUUGGGCGGAAAGCGCGCGUAGGCGGGGCGCUAAGCGGGACCGCUAACCCGGGGGCUCAACCCCCGGCCGGGUCCCGAACUGGCGCUCUCGAGUGCGGUAGGGGAGAGCGGAAGUCCCGGUGUAGCGGUGGAAUGCGCAGAUAUCGGGAAGAACACCGACGGCGAAGGCAGCUCUCUGGGCCGAAACUGACGCUGAGGCGCGAAAGCUGGGGGAGCGAACAGGAUUAGAUACCCCGGUAGUC